UCCACAUCCACACAACCCUAGAGUCCAUCUCAUGGUGCAAAAAAUAAAAGAAUGCAUGGAAUAAAGUAAGGAAUUUAAGAGAAGUAAACCAGAAGGACUUCUCCUCUUAAACACAAAAAAUAAAUGGGGCGUGCCAUUAUAUGGUAUGUGGUUUUGGUAGAGGUUGAUUUCAUAUGGAAUACUUUCAUAAAAACCAGAUAAGCCACCUAAUAAUUAG
rnacentral:lncRNA from 1 species